GUCGGUCGCGCAGACCCGUCCUGGAGGCUCAGCUCUCCCCCGCCCCCACUACUAUCCUGCCCCCGGGGACAGGAGCCCGAGCCGCCAGCGGGGGGCUCACCCACCCUGGGCCCGGCUGCAAAAGCUCGAGGGUCUUUCUCCAGCCUCAUCAGGAACCCCUAGAAAUCCUCUCCCACAUUGGGCUGGGCUCCAGAGACAUGGUCAGAAUUUCUCCAUAGCCGGUAUGGAGAGGUCCCCCAUGCUGUCAGCCUCCCCAGGCCCACUCCUCCUGCCUUAGCUCCAUGGAGAAGGGCGAGAAGAGAGAAUGGAAGAAAUGAGAAGCCGGCGGCAGCCCCCAGCCUUGACCCGAAUGGCCUCUGUGUGCCCUUGUGCGGAGGAACGCUGCGCACACCUGCGUCUGCCAGGACGGUCCGCGCUGCACACCAGCUGCUCUUCUCUCGGAUGUUCCUGCUUCUUGGCCCCUUCUUCUCAGUUGUUCUGUCUCAUCCGUUUUUCAGCCCAUCCCUAAAAGGCGGUGCUCCCAGUGGUGCGCUGCAGCCAACCUGUACUAGCUUGUGAGAGCAGGUUAGUGAAUUUCCCAGAAUUUUCCAAGCCAGUUGUUAAACACGGCCGUCAUUAAAAACGAGUUUAUGUAAAUCUGCACGUAAUUUAUGUUAAAAACCAUAGUAAUAAACACUCAAAAUGUGCCUCUUCUUAUUUUACUCUUUGUUACCUGUGCUCUUCAGGUUAUUUGCACCUGUUUCCAUCUGCAUGGAGGCACUAUAUUACAGGGUACACUGCACGUCUCCUUCCACUUCUGUGGUUAGUAACACCAUGGCUGCAGCUUGAAAUCGGCCAUGGCCAGAGUAUUUCCGCCACGGAAAUUGGCAAGUGUUACCAAUCAGGGCUUGAUUUAUGUCUUCUGCAGUGUCUAGACUCUCUAGACUUGAUUGAGAAAGUGAUAGGGAAAAUGUGAAUUGUGCAGAUUAAAUUUAGAGGUGUAUUGGGUGAAUAUAGUGUGUAGACUAUAUUUCUUUUUUUUUUAAUGUGCUAUGUCUGUAAGCCAUCACAAUGUGAGCAGCACAAAAAAAUCGAGGAAAUUUGGCCAGCAUUCAGCAACUACUACCUGACUGAGCAAUUGCUCAUGUCAUCAAUGAGUGAAGUUCUGAUAUACAUCUUUGGCGUGUUUCACUUUCAUCUUACUUGCUAACAUAAAACAUCAACUGACAUUCACAUUGGAACUACACUCAUUCAUCUCUUGCAGGCAUAGGCUGGCUAUAAAUACAUAGGCUUGGCAAAAAUCAGUGAGAGCAUUCUAAGAGAAUCCAUUGACUGUAUGGAUUUUAUAAUAAAAGUAUGUAUUUUAUAUAUAGUUUA